rnacentral:misc_RNA from 1 species
GAUGAAGAACGCAGCGAAAUGCGAUACUUGGUGUGAAUUGCAGAAUCCCGUGAACCAUCGAGUCUUUGAACGCAAGUUGCGCCCGAAGCCUCGGCUACGGGCACGUCUGCCUGGGCGUCACGCAUCGCGUCUCCCCCAAACCGCCAAGGCGGAGGGGAAGGAAGAUGGCUUCCCGUGCCUCACCCGGGCGCGGUUGGCCUAAAUUUGGAGCCCGCGGCACUUAGCUCUCGCGGCGAUAGGUGGUGAACAAGGCCUUGGCCGUGCAAACAACCCGCUGCGAAGCUCUAUGUCACGUGCGCUCGUCGGACCCUUUGAAGUUGCCUUUGGUGACUUAAAACCUUUGCGACCCCAGGUCAGGCGGGGCUACCCGCUGAAUUUAAGCAUAUCAAUAAGCGGAGGA